AUUAAAGGCAGCAACAGCAGACUGACAGUUCCCAAAAUCAGGAAGAUUGCCAUCUACAGAUUACAUAUCUGCAGAGAUGUUGCAAGGAUCAGAGCUAGGGAAUUAUUAAAAUCUUUUAUCAGUAUGCAGAAGUGAAUCUCAAAUAAGUGUUGAUAAAAUGUGUGGAUGGCAAAAAGAACAGGUAAAAAAAUUUUACUGUGUUCUGUGAUUUUGUAAGCAAAGAAGUAAGACAUAAUAUCUUGGAGAGGGAUUUACCUAUGGAUACAAAGAUAAUGAAAAUUAUAGGAGAAUUCUGGACACUAAGCAACUCUUAGCAGAAAAAAACAAACAAACAUAAAAACAACGAUCAGGAAGCUAAACUUUACAAAUUAACAUAGCCAAUAGACACACUUUUUAACUGUCAGACACUUGAACAAAUGAUUAAUCAUUACAAAAAAAGGGACUAGUUGGUGCUCUGUCUUUUCAUGAUGAACUGAAAACACAAUUUAGAGAUAUGAAGUUUCAGGACUUUAGGAAUCUUAGGAAUGUAAAACAAACAUGGAAGCAUUCAGAAGCUGAUCAGAUAAACUAAUGCUCCUUCUGGUCAAACUGCUGAAAAUAAAAAAUAAAAAUAUCUGUAAAUUAUAUACUCAUUUGUUUGAUGUACAGUUGCCCAGAUUCUGAUCUGAAUGACACUAUGCAAAUCAAGUGUUUUGGCAAAGAGUAAAUUACAAUGUGGUUUCAUCCAGAUUUAAUACAACAAGCUUUUAUCCAAGUUUCAAACUACUAGACAUGUUAAAAUAGCAAAUAUAACAUCUUUUAAUCUAAAUUUUACUUUCAGAAAAGACUACAAAGCCCUUUGCACAGACCAAGGAAGAUCUCCAGAGCCCAGCACUGACUAAUUCUUAAGGAGGCAGAUUCAAUCUUCUUCCCCUGAACUUCACCUCUUUGGAGUGAAACUGCUAGUGUUAUUUAAGUUCAGUUGUUUCCUCUGCUUGACUAAACUACUAAUAUCUUGUUAAAUUACUUAGAUAAAGGCAGAAGGUGCAUUUCACAAUGAAGACCUGAGAGGAUAUUGACUUGACUUCAAUUUUCCAUUACAAACUAACUUUUAAGUCCCCAGUCCCUGCAGAAUAUUCAAGAGCCAGGAGUCAACUCUGUGCAAGCAAACUGUAGGUUUGAACAAGAAGCAGCUUAGCAAGUUUCUGGCAGUGCUUCUCAUGGAACUGCCAAACUCAUUUGCAAGAAAAUUAAAAAGGCCAAAAUACUGAGCUCACCUGGGAAGAAUAUGAAUGAGCGUCUUGAACUUGUGGCUGGAAGAGACUUCUUCAAUACUAAUGAGGAUAGGCAGGGAGGAAACAGAGACUUCUGUUUUCCAGUAAAUCUCAAGUUCAUAAAGAACUGAUAGGAUGAUAAGACCAUGAAAGUCAUCAACAAAAUCUUGGAGUAUACUGAGUAAUGAAGGUAUGUCCAGUGGUGAUUUACAGCUAUUAAUUGCACUGUGACAUACAGUAGGGAAACUUCUUCUAGAGUAUCUUUUACAAUACUUACAGCCUGUGUUCCAAAUGCUGAAUUCUGAUUGAAGCAGAUGCUGAGUGAAUACUAUAUGCAAUAUGGAGUUCAUCUUGUGAUCAAAGAGCUAGAGAAUGGACUUGUAAAAAUUGACAAAACUAAAAGAGACCCUGAGACUCGAAAAUACACUAGAAGACAGGGACUGAAAAGAUGGAGAAUGGAGAGUAACCUCACACAAAGAUGAAAUGUACAGAGAGUUUUCUUAGAAAUUCAGCAGAAAAUGAAAUUUGAAUUAAUUUUCUGAAGAAAUUUAAAGAAAAUAUCUCAAUAGCAAAGAAAAAUUUAGGAGGCAUGUCCCAAUUGCAGUUCUGGGAGAAAAAAAAUCUUGUUUUGAGAUGGAUCUUGAUACAUUUAUUGCUAUAUGAUACAACUGUGGGAAAGCAUCAGAGUGGAUGAAAUGGCUCAGGAUGUUCCUGCAGCUGAAAAUUCUCAAGCAAUAAAAAGAUUCAUUACUUUUAACAUAUA